AACGGCCAUACCAUGCUGAAUAUACCGGUUCUCGUUAGAUCACCGAAGUCAAGCAUCGUUGGGCGCGGUCAGUACUUGGGUGGGUGACCAUCUGGGAACACUGCGUGCCGUU
rnacentral:rRNA from 1 species